rnacentral:RNase_P_RNA from 1 species
GGAGAGGCGCAGGCGACCGCUGGAGCGGCGCCGGGUUCGCCCGGGGCCGCUCGAGAGGAAAGUCCGAACUCCGCAGGGCAGGGUGGUGGGUAACGCCCACCGUCCGCAAGGGCCGGGACAGUGCCACAGAAAACAAACCGCCGGAGCUUCAGUGAGCGCGCAAGUGCUUGCGGUGGAACCGGUAAGGGUGAAACGGCGAGGUAAGAGCUCACCGCGGAAGUGGCAACACUUCCGGCACGGCAAACCCCACCCGGAGAAAGACCAAAUAGGAGAGGAGGCGCGGCCCGCGCCUAUGAACUCUCGGGUAGGUCGUUCGAGCUCCACCGCGAGGUGGCGCCUAGAUGAAUGGUCGCCACGCGCUUCCGAGCGCGACAGAAUUCGGCUUACAGCGCCUCUCCCGAC